GGAAUGCUUUACACAUGCAAGUCGAACGGCAGCACGGACUUCGGUCUGGUGGCGAGUGGCGAACGGGUGAGUAAUGUAUCGGAACGUAUCCAGUAAUGGGGGAUAACUAAUCGAAAGGUUGGCUAAUACCGCAUACGCCCUACGGGGGAAAGCAGGGGAUCUUCGGACCUUGCGUUAAUGGAGCGGCCGAUAUCUGAUUAGCUAGUUGGUGAGGUAAGAGCUCACCAAGGCGACGAUCAGUAGCUGGUCUGAGAGGACGACCAGCCACACUGGAACUGAGACACGGUCCAGACUCCUACGGGAGGCAGCAGUGGGGAAUUUUGGACAAUGGGCGCAAGCCUGAUCCAGCCAUUCCGCGUGAGUGAAGAAGGCCUUCGGGUUGUAAAGCUCUUUCGCAAGGGAAGAAACGAUGCAGACGAAUAAUCUGUGUUAAUGACGGUACCUUGAUAAGAAGCACCGGCUAACUACGUGCCAGCAGCCGCGGUAAUACGUAGGGUGCAAGCGUUAAUCGGAAUUACUGGGCGUAAAGCGUGCGCAGGCGGUUUUGUAAGUCAGAUGUGAAAUCCCCGAGCUCAACUUGGGAACUGCGUUUGAAACUACAAGACUAGAAUAUGUCAGAGGGGGGUAGAAUUCCACGUGUAGCA
rnacentral:rRNA from 1 species